UGCCUCCUGCAGAGUAUAAUUGUAUGCGUUGCUGACAGCAGUUCUGUCCAGCUUGUUCCUGGUUGCAGGAUGGACGCCUUGCCUGUUUAUCACGGGAAGAUCAGCCGGGAGACUGGAGAGAGGCUUCUAGGGGCUGCUGGAAAGGAUGGCAGCUAUUUAAUUCGUGACAGCGAGUCUGUGUCUGGGGUUUACUGCCUCUGUGUGUUGUGUAAGGGGUUUGUGUACACGUACAGAUUGUGCCAGACAGAUGGGGGCUCCUGGUCUGCCGAGACCGCUCCUGGCGUUCAAAAGCGUCUCUUUCGGAAGAUAAAGAACUUGAUUGUGGCCUAUCAUAAACCGGGCCAGGGCUUAGCGAUGCCUCUGCUCUACCCUGUUAACAAAGAAAACAACUACACCACCAGCCAACCCAUGACUGGAAACGGUAUGCCAACAUAAUUGCAUUUAGAAGCAUCUCUAAGGACUGCUGCCCUUAAUUAAAAUGCUGUCCUAGGGUGGAGACACUGGAGAAGAUUACCUUUUUAUGCACCCAGCUUCAUAGGCAAAUUCAAUAUAUUCUGUAUACGUGCGUCCUCAUGGAUAACAUCUUGGAUAUUUUUUUUAGCUGUUACCAAAUGCGCGAAAACAAUACCAUUAAAAAGAAUGAAGUGUCCUUCGAAUCUCCGUGUGGUGCAAACCACAGCCGCAUGAAAGCCUUUGUUUUGUGCACAGCGGGCGAACUAUUAGAUGUUUUACAGAGACUGUUGGCAGUGCAGCUUCAUUGUUGUGUUUGUCUUCAGCAAGCUGUUGUAUCGAAAUUAAACCUGAAGAAAAAGUUGGGCGAGCGCUAAUGCAAUGCAUUGCCUCACAGACCCGCAAGAGGCUAUUCAAGAGGAGCUGAUGCAUUAGUGGUGUUAUUAGCUUGCCAUUGUGCCCUCCUACUGCAUGUAUAAAAUAGCACCCUCCGGGCAGGAAUCCAUUGAUACUACACCUUGCUGAGCUGCACAGCCCUAUUGCAAUUACAGUGUCAUUGCAACUCCACCCUGUAUUAACAAAGCUAAUGACUUCAACAAGGUAUCAAGAAUGGGACGAUGUCCUGAACCUGUAGGAAGCUGAAUGGCAUUUGGAAGGUUUCUUGUUCAAGUGUUUGCAUUCUAAUACUGAAGGACACCCGUUUUCAAUAAUGAGGAAUCCACACUGCAAAUUUGUUAAUAAUUAAUUUAGAUACAGUUGAUAGUUUUUUAUGCUGCACAGAUCAUUAUUAUUUUUUUUAACUAUUUAAGCGAUAAAGCUAUUUCUUUGAUUUAACUUGUUUUCGAUUUUGAUAUUGAAAACAGUGUGUUUUCCUAUAUUAUGGAUCCAAAGCAGGGUGUAGCCCCUGUAUUACAUGUCUUAUGCAUUUUGCCUGAGAUUUAUCUUCUAAUGGUUCUCAAUGUGAUUUAAUCUUUAUUGGUAAGACAUUUCAUUUGUAUAUUGCUUAAAUCCAUAUUUUCAAAAUAAAAUUCUCAUUAAAAACAUGA